ACACCUAUGCUUACACCACUCAGUCAAAACACAGGAGAAAACAUUCCCGGGACACAGGUAAAGAAUAGUGCAGUGAUUCUUGCAUACUAAGCCACGAGGAGCACUUGCUCAGAGCAUGUUUAACAUCAGCUAGCAGUGGGUCUGCAUACAACCUUGUAUAUGCAGAAGGAAUUUGCAGAUCAAACAGAAGAAUACCCCGAUGUCCUCCAAAUCAAACAUCUACAUAUAUAACACAGGAGCAAAAGCGUUUUUAAGUUACCACUACAUUUGAGGAGCGACAUCGCAGAAAGACACGGCUGAAGCAGCACUACACUUCAGGAAACUUGGGGCCAAAACAUGGCUUCAUCCUUAGCAAGCGGUGAGCUUGGAUAUCUAUCUCCUCAAGGGGAGCAGGCAUACUCUUGCAUCUUCUCCCAGCAGGCGGCAGUGAGCUUGGAAAUCUCCUCGAGGGGAGCAGGCAUACUCCUGUUGCAUCUUCUUCUAGCUGGAGGUGAGCUUGGCAAUCUCCUCAAGCUGGUACCUUGCUUCAGCAGAGUAGUCGACCGGCGACUCACUCCUCACGGUGAUCCUCUGCCUCUUCU
rnacentral:lncRNA from 1 species